rnacentral:rRNA from 1 species
GACGAACGCUGGCGGCGUGCCUAAUACAUGCAAGUCGAGCGGAACUGGGGGAGCUUGCUCCUUCCAGUUUAGCGGCGGACGGGUGAGUAACACGUGGGCAACCUGCCCUGCAGAUCGAGAUAACUCCGGGAAACCGGUGCUAAUACCGAAUAGUUUGGCGCCUCUCCUGAGGCGCUACGGAAAGACGGUUUCGGCUGUCACUGCAGGAUGUGCCCGCGGCGCAUUAGCUAGUUGGUGGGGUAACGGCCCACCAAGGCGACGAUGCGUAGCCGACCUGAGAGGGUGACCGGCCACACUGGGACUGAGACACGGCCCAGACUCCUACGGGAGGCAGCAGUAGGGAAUCUUCCGCAAUGGACGCAAGUCUGACGGAGCAACGCCGCGUGAGUGACGAAGGUUUUCGGAUCGUAAAACUCUGUUGUGAGGGAAGAACACGUACCAACUAACUAUUGGUACCUUGACGGUACCUCACCAGAAAGCCACGGCUAACUACGUGCCAGCAGCCGCAGUAA